UGGGGAAUAUUGGACAAUGGGCGCAAGCCUGAUUCAGCCAUGCCGCGUGAGUGAUGAAGGCCCUAGGGUUGUAAAGCUCUUUCACCGGUGAAGAUAAUGACGGUAACCGGAGAAGAAGCCCCGGCUAACUUCGUGCCAGCAGCCGCGGUAAUACGAAGGGGGCUAGCGUUGUUCGGAUUUACUGGGCGUAAAGCGCACGUAGGCGGACUUUUAAGUCAGGGGUGAAAUCACGGGGUUCAACCCCGGAACUGCCUUUGAUACUGGAAGUCUUGAGUAUGGUAGAGGUGAGUGGAAUUCCGAGUGUAGAGGUGAAAUUCGUAGAUAUUCGGAGGAACACCAGUGGCGAAGGCGGCUCACUGGACCAUUACUGACGCUGAGGUGCGAAAGCGUGGGGAGCAAACAGG
rnacentral:rRNA from 1 species